rnacentral:rRNA from 1 species
UCCUGGCUCAGAACGAACGCUGGCGGCAGGCUUAACACAUGCAAGUCGAACGCCCCGCAAGGGGAGUGGCAGACGGGUGAGUAACGCGUGGGAACAUACCCUUAUCUUCGGAACAACUCCGGGAAACUGGAGCUAAUACCGAAUGUGCCCUUCGGGGGAAAGAUUUAUCGGAUAAGGAUUGGCCCGCGUUGGAUUAGCUAGUUGGUGGGGUAAAGGCCUACCAAGGCGACGAUCCAUAGCUGGUCUGAGAGGAUGAUCAGCCACAUUGGGACUGAGACACGGCCCAAACUCCUACGGGAGGCAGCAGUGGGGAAUAUUGGACAAUGGGCGCAAGCCUGAUCCAGCCAUGCCGCGUGAGUGAUGAAGGCCUUAGGGUUGUAAAGCUCUUUCACCGGAGAAGAUAAUGACGGUAUCCGGAGAAGAAGCCCCGGCUAACUUCGUGCCAGCAGCCGCGGUAAUACGAAGGGGGCUAGCGUUGUUCGGAAUUACUGGGCGUAAAGCGCACGUAGGCGGACAUUUAAGUCAGGGGUGAAAUCCCGGGGCUCAACCUCGGAACUGCCUUUGAUACUGGGUGUCUUGAGUGUGGAAGAGGUCAGUGGAAUUGCGAGUGUAGAGGUGAAAUUCGUAGAUAUU